GAUGAACGCUGGCGGCGUGCCUAAUACAUGCAAGUCGAGCGAACAGACGAGGAGCUUGCUCCUCUGACGUUAGCGGCGGACGGGUGAGUAACACGUGGAUAACCUACCUAUAAGACUGGGAUAACUUCGGGAAACCGGAGCUAAUACCGGAUAAUAUCUUGAACCGCAUGGUUCAAUAGUGAAAGACGGUUUUGCUGUCACUUAUCGAUGGAUCCGCGCCGCAUUAGCUAGUUGGUAAGGUAACGGCUUACCAAGGCAACGAUGCGUAGCCGACCUGAGAGGGUGAUCGGCCACACUGGAACUGAGACACGGUCCAGACGCCUACGGGAGGCAGCAGUAGGGAAUCUUCCGCAAUGGGCGAAAGCCUGACGGAGCAACGCCGCGUGAGUGAUGAAGGUCUUCGGAUCGUAAAACUCUGUUAUUAGGGAAGAACAAAUGUGUAAGUAACUAUGCACGUCUUGACGGUACCUAAUCAGAAAGCCACGGCUAACUACGUG
rnacentral:rRNA from 1 species